GAUGAACGCUGGCGGCGUGCCUAAUACAUGCAAGUCGAGCGAACAGACGAGGAGCUUGCUCCUUUGACGUUAGCGGCGGACGGGUGAGUAACACGUGGAUAACCUACCUAUAAGACUGGGAUAACUUCGGGAAACCGGAGCUAAUACCGGAGAAUAUAUUGAACCGCAUGGUUCAAUAGUGAAAGACGGUUUUGCUGUCACUUAUAGAUGGAUCCGCGCCGCAUUAGCUAGUUGGUAAGGUAACGGCUUACCAAGGCAACGAUGCGUAGCCGACCUGAGAGGGUGAUCGGCCACACUGGAAGUGAGACACGGUCCAGACUCCUACGGGAGGCAGCAGUAGGGAAUCUUCCGCAAUGGGCGAAAGCCUGACGGAGCAACGCCGCGUGAGUGAUGAAGGUCUUCGGAUCGUAAAACUCUGUUAUUAGGGAAGAACAAAUGUGUAAGUAACUAUGCCCGUCUUGACGGUACCUAAUCAGAAAGCAACGGCUAACUACGUG
rnacentral:rRNA from 1 species